CCCUCUUCUUCCUCGCAAGAAACAAAGCCUUACCAAGAAACCGAGAGAGAGGCCGAGAGAGAGGGAGGAGGUGGUGGUGGUGGAAAGCUGCGCAGGAUGGAGCCGGCCGUCGUGACACGGCUCUUCGUCGGCGGCGUGGCGGUGGUGGUCUUUAUCGUCGGAGGCCUACGCUGCUGUGCGGCUCCGUGCUACAUGGCGUGGCGGGAGCGGAGAGCGGCGGAGCGGCGGAGGCAGGAGGUGGAGAGUACUGGACGCGUCUUACUUGCUGGGGACGGGGAGGCGGAGCUAGAGCAAUGCAUGAUCUGCUGCGAGGAAAACAUCGCACCUGAGGAGGAGCUCCGGUUCCUGCCCUGCAGCCAUGGCUUUCACAAGCAAUGCAUCGACAAGUGGCGGCUUCAAUUUUCUUUGGCUUGUCCCUUGUGCCGAUCACAGUGACGGGGCGGGCGCAGCCAUAGCGAGCUAGCUGCUCUCUUCGGGUGGCGGCAGCGGCGACUUUGCGAUCGAACUCACCUUAGGUUAGGACUUGCUAGGCGGAACAGAAACCGAGAGACAUUCCUUUGUUCCCUUUUGUGUUCGUGAUUCUUAGGUUUUGGUUCGUGUUCGGGAACCGAUUCGUCGUUGUUGUCAUCUAUAGCAUCAGUACUCGUGUGACUACGAUUUUAGUUCUUGCUCCUCUGUAAACGGUGUGAUCAUGAUUUCGGUUCUUGGUUGGAUGCUUUUGUUUUGGAAGGAAAUUCUGAAAUUGGUUGAAUUCUUGUUUUCUUAUUGCGGUCGUCUUCCCUAGUUCUUUGUGAUGUUAAUUUCGGUUUGGAACCCGCCUCGUUCGUCGUGGAGCCAUACCCGUGUAGUGGCGACAUCGCGUGCGUGGUGGAAAUUUAAUUUAGUGGGCUGGGCUUGGGCGGCAGCCAUGCCCGUGCAGGCCAUCACCCAUUUCUCCCCCAGAGCCCGUCAGUCUGAUGCCGCAGCACCACGCACGGCACCACCGCGGUCGACGGCGGCGGCGGCGGUCGGAGCGGCGGAAUAGCGGAUCCGGCGGGCGAGUGGAUCUGGAUCUGCGAGGCGAAAUACUUGGCAGCGCGGCGGUUCCGUCUCCGAGAAGCUAGGAGGGGAGCAAAGGAAGUUUUGGGGCCAACGGUGGGGAGCUGUUGAGGUGUUUGGCCAGUAACUGGUCGAGACAUUGAAGCCAAGAGUUAUGGAGACAUUGAAGAUGAAAAUUGAUAUAGAAUGUCUACUCCAAAUGUAUUGAUAGAUUGUCAGUUUGUGUGAUGCAAACAGUCAUUAGUGCAGGGAAAAAAUGGAUUACAACAAGCUAUUGGUUUCUUGCUUUAGCCUACUGGUUUCUCCUUUGCUAUGUUGUUGUGCAUUACAAAUUUACACCAUGUGAUAACUAAAGUAGCAUAGCUUAUUCCAUUUUAUGUUAGUGGCAUGCACAUAGUACUUGCCUUUUUAUCACCUUCCUCUAAAUCCUUCCAAACGCUGCAGUUUUUCUGUAAGAACUCAAAUAGCAUAUGCUGAUAUGCUGCAUCUUGUAAGUACUGAAGGUUAGUUGGUAUAACUUGCAAGACAAAUGCUACUAUACUCUUAUCAUGCAGUAUAUUUCAUUUGCCAGUUGAAGUAGGAGUUCUGAUCAAUUGAUUAUUUUGAUAUCGCAGGAUCUGUCUUGUAUAUAUUAUCCCUGUAUAUUUGUAAC